UACGUAGGUGGCAAGCGUUAUCCGGAUUUACUGGGUGUAAAGGGAGCGUAGACGGCACUGCAAGUCUGGAGUGAAAGCCCGAGGCCCAACCACGGGACUGCUCUGGAAACUGUGAAGCUGGAGUGCAGGAGAGGUAAGCGGAAUUCCUGGUGUAGCGGUGAAAUGCGUAGAUAUCAGGAGGAACACCGGCGGCGAAGGCGGCUUACUGGACUGUAACUGACGUUGAGGCUCGAAGGCGUGGGGAGCAAACAGG
rnacentral:rRNA from 1 species